rnacentral:rRNA from 1 species
GACGAGUGGCGGACGGGUGAUUAAUGCUUGGGAACUUGCCUUUGCGAGGGGGAUAACAGUUGGAAACGACUGCUAAUACCGCAUAAUGUCUUCGGACCAAACGGGGCUUAGGCUCCGGCGCAAAGAGAGGCCCAAGUGAGAUUAGCUAGUUGGUAAGGUAACGGCUUACCAAGGCGACGAUCUCUAGCUGUUCUGAGAGGAAGAUCAGCCACACUGGGACUGAGACACGGCCCAGACUCCUACGGGAGGCAGCAGUGGGGAAUAUUGCACAAUGGGGGAAACCCUGAUGCAGCCAUGCCGCGUGUGUGAAGAAGGCCUUCGGGUUGUAAAGCACUUUCAGUUGUGAGGAAAAGUUAGUAGUUAAUACCUGCUAGCCGUGACGUUAACAACAGAAGAAGCACCGGCUAACUCCGUGCCAGCAGCCGCGGUAAUACGGAGGGUGCGAGCGUUAAUCGGAAUUACUGGGCGUAAAGCGCACGCAGGCGGUUUGUUAAGCUAGAUGUGAAAGCCCCGGGCUCAACCUGGGAUGGUCAUUUAGAACUGGCAGACUAGAGUCUUGGAGAGGGGAGUGGAAUUCCAGGUGUAGCGGUGAAAUGCGUAGAUAUCUGGAGGAACAUCAGUGGCGAAGGCGACUCCCUGGCCAAAGACUGACGCUCAUGUGCGAAAGUGUGGGUAGCGAACAGGAUUANAUACC